CCCAAACCAGCCCAAGUGAAGAGACCACACGAAGAAGUCACACACAGGUGUCUUUCUGAUGGCCCAGCUGCGGUAGCAGCUGCCAGACACGCAAGUGAAGACUCUCCGACCGAGGCCAGCACCCCAGCCACCAAGUCGCCCUCAGCCUUCAGGCUGUCCCAGCCGAGGCCCCAGACACUGUGGAGCAGAGACAAGCUGUCCUGCUGUGCCCUGUCUGCAUUCCUGACCACAGGAUCUGAGAGAUAUCAUUCCAGUGUUCUGGAAAAAGUACAGAAUUGAAUCCUUGGAGUGGAGCACACUGAUUGUCCAGGCCUGGGUCGGAUGCCUGUAUUUAAAUCCAGAAGUAGGCUCAGCCCCAUCUAAACCAUGUGAGCUGACACUGAGCCAGGAGUCUUCUCUACAAAAACUGUGAUGCUGUUACAGGGGCAGAGGAAAUGGGAGCCAGAGGUAAAUGCUCCGUGGAAACACAUGGCUGGUUGCAGUAAAGACUACAUUUCCCAGCCUCCCUUGCAGCAAGAAGCGGCCAUGUGACUGAGGUAUGGCCAAUGAGAUGUGAGCAGAACAUGGGACAGCAAACAAGGUGAUCAGCCAUUUGGACCUCUGGAUGGGGUCCACAUGCUGGUGAGAAUGGGACAACAAGUUAGGGGCCCAAGCCUCUGACAACUUUCUGGUACAGAGCCACCGCCCAGCUCAGACAUCCCUGUGAAAAACAAAUAAACGC
rnacentral:lncRNA from 1 species